GACGUAGGGCGCGAGCGUUGUCCGGAAUUAUUGGGCGUAAAGAGCUCGUAGGCGGCUUGUCGCGUCGGCUGUGAAAUCCCGUGGCUCAACUGCGGGUCUGCAGCCGAUACGGGCAGGCUAGAGUUCGGUAGGGGAGACUGGAAUUCCUGGUGUAGCGGUGAAAUGCGCAGAUAUCAGGAGGAACACCGAUGGCGAAGGCAGGUCUCUGGGCCGAUACUGACGCUGAGGAGCGAAAGCGUGGGGGAGCGAACAGG
rnacentral:rRNA from 1 species